UACGUAGGGUGCAAGCGUUAAUCGGAAUUACUGGGCGUAAAGCGUGCGCAGGCGGUUUUGUAAGUCUGGCGUGAAAUCCCCGGGCUCAACCUGGGAAUUGCGAUGGAGACUGCAAGGCUAGAAUCUGGCAGAGGGGGGUAGAAUUCCACGUGUAGCAGUGAAAUGCGUAGAGAUGUGGAGGAACACCGAUGGCGAAGGCAGCCCCCUGGGUCAAGAUUGACGCUCAUGCACGAAAGCGUGGGGAGCAAACAGG
rnacentral:rRNA from 1 species